GUUGAACUGAAUACCAUCUCUCCAGAACAUACUACAUUGUAUGUGGAUGAGGUUCUUCACAGUAUCUUCUUUUUGGGAAAGAUCAAGAAUUGCCCCAGAUAUACCCCCCAAAUGAUUGUGAAUGAUGAUGAAAUUUAUGAUGCGCUGAAGAAGGACUACCCCCGGGCUUUUGACCUGUAUUCUUCUCAACUGCCCAAGCGGAGUCCAUUUUCAUGUGUGCUAGACAUGAUUGUCCACCUGGAAGGACAACAAAAUGAAGACUUGAUAAUAAA